rnacentral:rRNA from 1 species
AAACCAGCACCUCAAGUGGUCAGGAUGAUUAUUGGGCCUAAAGCAUCCGUAGCCGGCUCUGUAAGUUUUCGGUUAAAUCUGUACGCUCAACGUACAGGCUGCCGGGAAUACUGCAGAGCUAGGGAGUGGGAGAGGUAGACGGUACUCGGGAGGAAGGGGUAAAAUCCUUUGAUCUCUCGAUGACCACCUGUGGCGAAGGCGGUCUACCAGAACACGUCCGACGGUGAGGGAUGAAAGCUGGGGGAGCAAACCGGAUUAGAAACCCGGGUAGUCC